rnacentral:rRNA from 1 species
AACGAACGCUGGCGGCAGGCUUAACACAUGCAAGUCGAACGGGUGUAGCAAUACAUCAGUGGCAGACGGGUGAGUAACACGUGGGAACCUUCCUAGGGGUACGGAACAACUCAGGGAAACUUGAGCUAAUACCGUAUACGUCCGUAAGGAGAAAGAUUCAUCGCCCCUAGACGGGCCCGCGUCGGAUUAGGUAGUUGGUGGGGUAACGGCCUACCAAGCCUACGAUCCGUAGCUGAUCUGAGAGGAUGAUCAGCCACACUGGGACUGAGACACGGCCCAGACUCCUACGGGAGGCAGCAGUGGGGAAGUCUUGGACAAUGGGCGGCAAGCCUGAUCCAGCCAUGCCGCGUGACGUGAAGAAGGCCUUAGGGUUGUAAAGCUCUUUUACCAGGGACGAUAAUGACGGUACCUGGAGAAUAAGCCCCGGCAAACUUCGUGCCAGCAGCAGCCGCUGU